CGAGGCGCUGUCUACGAGUCGGG
rnacentral:sRNA from 1 species